UGUUAUGUCUCGGCUCCGGCCGCGGCCGCAGCUGAUCUACGGUUGUGGAGGGUUUUUUGAGGCCAUUGUGUGGUAUGAAACUGGCAUCUUUGCCACCCAGCUGGUGGAUCCGGUGGCGCUGAGCUUCAAGAAGCUGAAGACCAUUUUGGAGUGCCGGGGGUUGGGCUACUCAGGGUUGCCCGAGAAGAAGGAUGUCCGGGAGCUGGUGGAAAAGUCAGGUGACUUGAUGGAGGGUGAGCUCUAUUCUGCUCUCAAGGAAGAAGAAGCAUCCGAAUCGGUUUCUAGUACCAAUUUCAGUGGUGAAAUGCAUUUCUAUGAGCUUGUGGAAGACACAAAAGAUGGCAUCUGGCUGGUUCAGGUCAUAGCAAAUGACAGAAGUCCCUUGGUGGGCAAAAUUCACUGGGAGAAAAUGGUUAAAAAGGUGUCAAGAUUUGGAAUACGUACAGGCACAUUUAACUGUUCCAGUGAUCCCAGAUAUUGCAGGAGAAGAGGCUGGGUCCGAUCCACACUCAUUAUGUCUGUUCCACAAACAAGUACUUCAAAAGGGAAAGUCAUGCUUAAAGAAUACAGUGGACGCAAGAUUGAAGUAGAGCACAUUUUUAAAUGGAUAACUGCUCAUGCAGCUUCUCGGAUCAAAACCAUUUAUAAUGCUGAACACUUGAAAGAAGAAUGGAAUAAAAGUGAUCAGUAUUGGUUAAAAAUAUACCUAUUUGCAAACCUUGACCAGCCCCCAGCUUUCUUCUCUGCACUAAGUAUAAAGUUUACUGGAAGAGUUGAGUUUAUUUUUGUUAAUGUAGAAAAUUGGGACAACAAGAGUUAUAUGACAGAUAUUGGCAUAUAUAAUAUGCCAUCAUACAUACUUAGAACUCCUGAAGGAAUUUACAGAUAUGGAAACCACACAGGCGAAUUUAUAUCCCUUCAGGCCAUGGAUUCAUUUUUGCGCUCAUUACAACCCGAGGUAAAUGAUCUGUUUGUUUUGAGCUUGGUUCUAGUUAAUCUUAUGGCUUGGAUGGACUUAUUUAUUACACAAGGAGCUACCAUAAAGCGAUUUGUGGUUCUCAUAAGCACUUUAGGGACAUAUAAUUCUCUAUUAAUUAUUUCCUGGCUACCUGUGUUGGGCUUUUUACAGCUACCUUACUUAGAUAGCUUUUAUGAAUAUAGCUUAAAAUUGUUGAGAUAUUCCAAUACAACCACACUGGCUUCAUGGGUAAGGGCAGACUGGAUGUUUUACUCUUCACACCCAGCCCUGUUUCUCAGUACAUACCUUGGUCAUGGUUUACUAAUUGAUUACUU
rnacentral:sRNA from 1 species